GAUGAACGCUGGCGGCGUGCCUAAUACAUGCAAGUCGAGCGAACGGACGAGAAGCUUGCUUUUCUGAUGUUAGCGGCGGACGGGUGAGUAACACGUGGAUAACCUACCUAUAAGACUGGGAUAACUACGGGAAACCGGAGCUAAUACCGGAUAAUAUUUUGAACCGCAUGGUUCAAAAGUGAAAGACGGUCUUGCUGUCACUUAUAGAUGGAUCCGCGCUGCAUUAGCUAGUUGGUAAGGUAACGGCUUACCAAGGCAACGAUGCAUAGCCGACCUGAGAGGGUGAUCGGCCACACUGGAACUGAGACACGGUCCAGACUCCUACGGGAGGCAGCAGUAGGGAAUCUUCCGCAAUGGGCGAAAGCCUGACGGAGCAACGCCGCGUGAGUGAUGAAGGUCUUCGGAUCGUAAAACUCUGUUAUUAGGGAAGAACAUAUGUGUAAGUAACUGUGCACAUCUUGACGGUACCUAAUCAGAAGGCCACGGCUAACUACGUG
rnacentral:rRNA from 1 species